CCUGGUAGUGGGGGACAACGUUUCGAAAGGAACGCUAAUACCGCAUACGUCCUACGGGAGAAAGCAGGGGACCUUCGGGCCUUGCGCUAUCAGAUGAGCCUAGGUCGGAUUAGCUAGUUGGUGGGGUAAUGGCUCACCAAGGCGACGAUCCGUAACUGGUCUGAGAGGAUGAUCAGUCACACUGGAACUGAGACACGGUCCAGACUCCUACGGGAGGCAGCAGUGGGGAAUAUUGGACAAUGGGCGAAAGCCUGAUCCAGCCAUGCCGCGUGUGUGAAGAAGGUCUUCGGAUUGUAAAGCACUUUAAGUUGGGAGGAAGGGCAGUAAGCUAAUACCUUGCUGUUUUGACGUUACCGACANAAUAANCACCGGCUAACUCUGUGCCAGCAGCCGCGGUAAU
rnacentral:rRNA from 1 species